CACCGGUCUGAAGCGAAGAAUGAAACAGGACGGGAUGAGUACCUUGCCGCGUGCUCUGGGAAGUGCUUGCCGGGCUGUCGCUGCCGGAGCACGUGGAGGUCGCCGCCGGGGCAGAACUCCAUGACAAGGCAGGCGAACCGGUCGGUCUCAAAGUGCGCGUACAGAGUGGGCAAGAACGGGUGGUCCAGCAGCUGGAGGAUCUCCCGCUCCGUCUGCGCGCGACUCAGCUUCCGCCGGCUCUCCAGCGACGCCUUGUCCAUCACCUUCAUCGCGAACCAGCAGGGCCUUGCCACGUCGCCAUUUCCGGGGCCUCCCCCGCUGAGCUCCGACAGGUACACCGUCCCGAUGUCGCCGCACCCGAGCCUCCGCAGCAGCCGGAAGCUGCCCAUCGCGAGGGGUCCCUCGCGCGCGCGCGCCGCGAGGAUGGCCUUCCACCUGGGGUCGCCGCCCUUGUGCGGCUUCCCCGCGCUGCCGCCGCAGCCGCUGCUGGUGCCGUUGCUCCAGCCGCUGCCGUCGCUGGCCGCGCUGCUGCUGACGCUGGUCUUGGCGCUGCGGCUGGUGACGGUGCAGCUCGGCGCGAUGCUGGUGACCGUGGCCGUGGCGCCGGAGCUGUCGAUGCUGCUGUCUGGGCUCGCCGCGCCGCUCGGCGGCCUGGACGCGUCCCACGAGAUGACUGGCUUCGGGACCGGCUUCUCCCGGCCGUCGACAGCGACAAAGACGGUGUCCGUCUCGUCCACUGGCUCCGGCGGGUGGCUCGCCCCGGAGAAGGAGCUCCUCGGCGGCGCGUAUCCGUCCGCCUCGUCGUCCCUGGACGCAAUGCUAAUCCUGACCUUGUCGAACUCGAACUCAAGAACCUUCUCCGUCACCUUACCGUCUCCGUUCCUUGCCCCGCCGCCGCCGACGGGAACGCCGCCCAUCUGGAGCUCGAACGCCUCCGGGAUGAACCGAAACUGGAAGUCCUGGUACUCAGUAUCGGAUCCCGGAUCCAGGGGCGCCUCCAGCACCUGGGUGCGGAAGUGCGUGUGCGUUCUCGUUUGAUGUUUGGCGUGCUGUGAGCGCGACGGCUGCAUUGAGAGUGUGUGGAUGUAACCGACAAAAGAGGUUGGGGAAGUGACAGGAGGUGCAGUGGUGGAGAGGGAAAGGACAGGACAGGACAGCUCGUAGCAGAGGAGAGAAAGAACGCGUGUUCUCCGGGCUGGUGGCCGUCUGGGUCCGGGCCGAGGAGGAAGACACAGCGGCAGCAGAGGCAGCCGGGCAGAGGCGCAGAGGAGAGCAAUAGAGCAGUACUGUACUAGCGUUGUCUUUUGCUUUGCUAGGCGUAUUCGCUGCUAAGAUUAACGUUAUUUACCGUUAUACUAGUAGCGAGCUUGGCUUGGGUUUGGUGGAUCUCGCUUUUCCCAACCUAUGAUCAUCUCCAACAAAUUGAUUCAAAAUAGUGUCUCAAAAUUUAAAAUGUUUAGGACAUUAAAAAUAAAUUGCGCUCUAACAGUUAAAUCCUAAAUCAUGUAUUUUAGUGUGUAAAUGUAGUAUUAGAAAAGAAAAUGUUAAGAAUGAUAUAGAGAAACAAGUAUAAGG
rnacentral:misc_RNA from 1 species